UGCCAGCAGCCGCGGUAAUACGAAGGGGGCUAGCGUUGUUCGGAAUUACUGGGCGUAAAGCGCGCGUAGGCGGAUUGGAAAGUUGGGGGUGAAAUCCCGGGGCUCAACCCCGGAACUGCCUCCAAAACUGCCAGUCUAGAGUUCGAGAGAGGUGAGUGGAAUUCCUGGUGUAGCAGUGAAAUGCGUGGAUAUCAGGAGGAACAUCAAUGGCGAAGGCAACUUACUGGACAUUUACUGACGCUCAGACACGAAGGCUAGGGUAGCGAAAGGGAUUAGAUA
rnacentral:rRNA from 1 species